rnacentral:misc_RNA from 1 species
UUGCUAACUUUGAAAUCACCUUCUGCCACCGAACACAAGCUGGUUGCACCUGUCUGCAGGAAGUUUUGCUGACGCGGUGUCGACAUCGUCAUGGAGGUGGACGCUGGUUCCCCAGUCUGCGUGAUCUCAAGAGACGUGUUCGAAAAACACCGCCACAAGUGGCCAAGGACGGAGCGUUCAGGUCUGAAGUUAUUCAUGCUACCUGGGGAAGUUGCCUAUGGGAGGAAUCCGGAUGCAAGCUGUCGGCCGGAGAUCCCGUGUGGGCACGAAACUUUGGGGAAGGCGAGCGGUGUUACCGGGAAUCGUAGCUACAACGACUGGGGCCCGGAUGGUGUCGGUGGACACGCCGCUGGGAGAAAUAUGGUGUCACACGGACCAGAUCCGUUCAAGGGAGCUGCCAGCACACCAAGCACCAGAGACAACCCAAGAAACGGCACCCGCUGUUCGUAAAGAUGCGGCUGAGGGUCCAACACCUGAGCAGCCAGCCGCGGGUAUCACGCAACAUCAAGAGUGGUGCAGAUCUACCAGAGAAAGAAAACCAGUAGUGCGGUAUUCCCCCUACGGGAAGAAAUGCUGUAUCAUCGGAAGCUGUGCAUCGUCAAACGAUGACAUACUUUGUGAUCAUAGUCCAGUUUAGUUAUCAUCGUUAUCUCUUCCGUUCUGUUCCGCACCCGAAGUAUCGGGCUGUUUAUAUAAGCGCGUGGCAGAUAAUAAAUGCUGUUCACAGCCUACCAUGUCUUGGCUGUCGAACGUCGUAAAAUGUGUAAUAUUCUGCUCGCCUGUUGAUAGAGUUUAUAUACAAUAUUGCGUUAAUCUAUUUACAUAGCGGCAGCAAAGGUUUGUCAGAGCAUUUGGUAUUUUGUAUUGGUACCGCAGACAUGGUGUAUUGUCUAAGCAAGGUGGAAUAAA